CCUACGGGAGGCAGCAGUGAGGAAUAUUGGUCAAUGGCCGUAAGGCUGAACCAGCCAAGUCGCGUGAAGGAAGAAGGAUCUAUGGUUUGUAAACUUCUUUUAUAGGGGAAUAAAGGUAUCCACGUGUGGAUAUUUGCAUGUACCCUAUGAAUAAGCAUCGGCUAACUCCGUGCCAGCAGCCGCGGUAAUACGGAGGAUGCGAGCGUUAUCCGGAUUUAUUGGGUUUAAAGGGUGCGUAGGUUGUUUUUUAAGUCAGCGGGGAAAGUUUGUGGCUCAACCAUAAAAUUGCCGUUGAAACUGGAAGACUUGAGUGUGUUUGAGGUAGGCGGAAUGCGUGGUGUAGCGGUGAAAUGCAUGGAUAUCACGCAGAACUCCGAUUGCGAAGGCAGCUUACUAAGCCAUAACUGACACUGAAGCACGAAAGCGUGGGGAUCAAACAGGAUUAGAUACCCGAGUAGUC
rnacentral:rRNA from 1 species